UUGCCCUCGCCCACGCCGUAGGCGUAUAGGCGAGGGUACUGCGCUCGUCGUGUCAGUGUGUGUGUGUGUGUUCGCAAUAUGGCGUCUUUUUCUCUGUUUUCAAAUCCUUGCUGCUCUUUGCUCAGGUCCUGUGGAGUCCCACUGUCAACUAAAAUAAUUGCCAAAAGUAGUUUUUCUUCAGUUUACUUCUUCAUCUGUCUAUGAGCCAGUAAUGUUGCUAAACGUAGUCAGGAUUCCGGGUAACUCUCUCAUGACGAAGGAAAUUUGUCUUAAAUUCUUAAUUUCUGAGAUAUGGUAGCUCAAACAUCGCUUACCGCGACUGUUUACACGAGGUCCUGUUCUCCAGGAAGAUCUGUCAGAGUCUUUUAAACUGUAGAUUCUUACUAUCAAGUUUGUAUACAACAAAUAGAGCCUGAUUAUUGUGUCAUAAACUGUGUAUAAGUGUAGAAAACUGAAGCUUUUUACCAGUAACUGUCCAUUGUGUGUAACUAUGAAGUAGGCGGUGCUUAAUUUGAGCCACACCUUUAAUUGCUGCAGCAAGCAAUGCAAGGCUGAGCAAGCUAAUGUGUACAGUAACAUAUCCCAGAAAUCACGUGACUGUAGAACGCUGAAUUGUAAUAAAUGUAAUGUGUGCCUAGACUUAAUUAUUGGUUGUAUGUCUUGUCUGUAAUAGAUCCCUUCUUAAUAAUUUGUGUUAAUGUGAAACUAUUUCAUAAUUUGUGUCAUAGUAUAUAAAUGUUUGAUUCUGUUGUUUUGAUUGAUCUUUUGAUUGUUAAUAAUCGUAUC